rnacentral:rRNA from 1 species
AUUGAACGCUGGCGGCAGGCCUAACACAUGCAAGUCGAGCGGAUGAAGGGAGCUUGCUCCUGGAUUCAGCGGCGGACGGGUGAGUAAUGCCUAGGAAUCUGCCUGGUAGUGGGGGAUAACGUCCGGAAACGGGCGCUAAUACCGCAUACGUCCUGAGGGAGAAAGUGGGGGAUCUUCGGACCUCACGCUAUCAGAUGAGCCUAGGUCGGAUUAGCUAGUUGGUGGGGUAAAGGCCUACCAAGGCGACGAUCCGUAACUGGUCUGAGAGGAUGAUCAGUCACACUGGAGCUGAGACACGGUCCAGACUCCUACGGGAGGCAGCAGUGGGGAAUAUUGGGCAAUGGGCGAAAGCCUGAUCCAGCCAUGCCGCGUGUGUGAAGAAGGUCUUCGGAUUGUAAAGCACUUUAAGUUGGGAGGAAGGGCAGUAAGUUAAUACCUUGCUGUUUUGACGGUACCAACAGAAUAAGCACCGGCUAACUUCGUG